rnacentral:rRNA from 1 species
UACGUAGGGUGCAAGCGUUAUCCGGAUUUACUGGGUUAAAGGGUGCGCAGGCGGAUAUGUAAGUCAGUGGUGAAAUCUCUAGGCUUAACCUGGAAAUUGCCGUUGAUACUAUAUAUCUUGAAUGUUGUGGAGGUAAGCAGAAUAUGUCAUGUAGCGGUGAAAUGCUUAGAUAUGACAUAGAAUACCUAUUGCGAAGGCAGCUUACUACGCAGAUAUUGACGCUCAUGCACGAAAGCGUGGGGAUCAAACAGGA